rnacentral:lncRNA from 1 species
CCACAUUCCCAAAUCCCUAGACUGGAGUGCCUGUGCAGCUAGGGCACCAGGUUGGAAAUAUAGGAAAGCCAGUCCUCCCACCACACCACACCCAUGCACAAGGCCCCUUUACUUCUGUUGCGUACAGGAGUGUAUAUGCUUUGAAAAGUAAGUAAGAUGAUACAGUUAGGUCCCUGGCCCCAAGAUUCUUAUUUAAACCAUCCAGAGGACAUUAUGGCAGCUCUUAUUUUCAUGGAGUGAAGAAGAGAGAGGCAAAAUAUUCCUCCCAAUAUAAAUGUUGUUAUGUAGCAAUGUCGUAUUAUUAUGUAAUCAUGAAAAAUAAAAAUAAAGUUAAACCCCUCCCCAAACCCUGAAAUAUAUAUUUAGAACUAAACUUUGAAUAAUCAGCCCUAAAUUAUCAGAAAAAAAAACCCACAUGCAAUGACACUUCUAAUUUGCACACAUAAUGACCACUUUUGUGCUUACAGUCAUGAUAGUUAUGCAUACAUAUUAGGUGCACAAAUGUUUACACAUUUCUAUAAGAAUAGUUCUUGCUUAUAUUUGUCCUAUUAAUCUUUUACAGACAAUGUUUGAUAAUUUAGGCACAACCAACUAGUGAAACAUGUCAUCUUUUUAUGAGUUACAUGAGCUUCUAAUUAGGUUUAAAAUUGCAUUUUACUGAGGAUAACUUUUUAAAUUGGGGAAACUGACUGAUAGGCUGUAUAGGAGUUAUUUCUUCUCACCAAAGGCCAGAACAAAAGUGUCACACUAGCUAUGUCAUAUUGUUGCCUUAUCUGGAAACAAUUAUGUUGUGGUUCUUCUGAAAUAAGAAAAAUUAGAAAAUCCACCCUAUUUCUUGCAGUGGCUGGUGGACACUUUCCAUAAUCUCUGGCAUGCCUAUAUUUUACUAAACAUAAAAUAAUCUGUCAUAUGAUUACCCGCCUUUUUUGUUGCAGCAAAUCAAUUUAUAGUAUUUUCACACUAUUGAGUAUUAAAGGGUAAAUAGAAAGUAGUUUAUUAUUAAUAUCAGACUUGAAAAAAUAUGCAUUAAAACAGUUAAUCAAAGUUGGUUAAGGACUAGACUGUAACUUGGGCUAGAUUCUCAGAAAUAGUUCAGUUCCUGUUUAGGUGCUUCCAUGAAUAAGCCAGAUUUUCAAAGAAGCUUUGUUGCUCUCAAUGAGAGCUUCUGAAUGCUGAGAACUUUGGAAAAUCUGGCCCUUUCAUAUAGAUGCCUCAGAGAUACCGGAAUAAAUUUGCAAACUGGAUACCA